rnacentral:rRNA from 1 species
UACAGAGGUCCCAAGCGUUGUUCGGAUUUACUGGGCGUAAAGGGUGCGUAGGCGGCGGGGAAAGUUUAAGGUGAAAUCUCCAGGCCUAACUUGGAAAAUGCCUCGAAUACUUCCCUGCUCGAGGGUCGCAGAGGAGAUUGGAAUUCUCGGUGUAGCAGUGAAAUGCGUAGAUAUCGAGAGGAACAUCAGUGGCGAAAGCGAAUCUCUGGGCGACUCCUGACGCUGAGGCACGAAAGCCAGGGGAGCAAACGGG